UUUCCGUAGGUGAACCUGCGGAAGGAUCAUUACUGAGUGAGGGCCCUCUGGGUCCAACCUCCCACCCGCGUUUAUUGUACCUUGUUGCUUCGGUGCGCCCGCCUCACGGCCGCCGGGGGGCUUCUGCCCCCGGGUCCGCGCGCACCGGAGACACCAUUGAACUCUGUCUGAAGAUUGCAGUCUGAGCAUAAACUAAAUAAGUUAAAACUUUCAACAACGGAUCUCUUGGUUCCGACAUCGAUGAAGAACGCAGC
rnacentral:misc_RNA from 1 species